AUGGGAGGGGACAUCUUUUUAUAAAGUAAUAAACAGAGUUAUGCUAUUAACAAUGCACUCUUUUCUUCUUUAGCACACAGUACAUCACAGGAGGCCCCACCAGAAGAAAGGAAUAGCUGCAAUCCGGACUUUCUAAAUGGACUUUCUAACAGACCCUUGGAUAAGGGUAAAAAUGUAUACUGAACAUACAGUGCACUUAUGGUAAUCCAGUGCACUGUUAAUUAACACCGUUCAGUAUACUUCAGUUUCUUUAUAUAAGGUAAGGUUUAGGGGUAAGUAUAGAAUUAAGUAAGUUUACUUCCUUUUCUAACUUCCAUCCCAUUGUUUUACUGUUUUCUUAUAGAUAGGAUGUUAUAUAGAAAUAGAAAUGUUAGGAUUCCUUCUCAUAUUUACUCCUGUCCCAUUCUUUUCUUUUACCAUUUUCUUUUCUCAUUUUCCUCUUUUCUCUUUUCCUCCACUUUAAUAUACUGUAAGUUAAGGUAAAAAAGGGUGGGUGGUAUCUUAUAUUGGAAUAGGAAUGUUACAAUUGUUUCUUGCUCUUCUUUUAUGCUCUCCUGUCUUUUCCCUGUAGUUUGUAGCACAUACUGUACGUUAAAUGUAAAGUUUAUGGGUAAAAGUAUACAGGAUAUGGCAGUGGUUAUGUGGGAUAAGGGAUAUAUGUAUAUAAAUAUGGGAUAUGGGUACUAUAAGGGUUAUAGUAAAGGGAUAUGGGAAUAGUGAUGUUGAAUAAGGGAUAUAUGUAUAUAAAUAUGGGAUAUGGGUACAAAAAGGGUUAUAGUAAAGGGAUAUGGGAAUAGUGAUGUUGAAUAAGGGAUAUAUGUAUAUAAUUAUGGGUUAUUGGUACUAUAAGGGUUAUAGUAAAGGGAUAUGGGAAUAGUGAUGUUGAAUAAGGGAUAUAUGUAUAUAAAUAUGGGAUAUGGGUACAAAAAGGGUUAUAGUAAAGGGAUAUGGGAAUAGUGAUGUUGAAUAAGGGAUAUAUGUAUAUAAUUAUGGGUUAUUGGUACUAUAAGGGUUAUAGUAAAGGGAAUGGGAUUAGCUAUGUGGGAUAAGGAAUAUGCCAUAUCCUGAUAGAAAUUUGCAGCAAAUCAUAACAGUAAAUUAACUGCUGAAGAAACACCACUUUCAGCCUGUUUACACUGUGAUUUGCUGCAAUAAGUAUGAAAGGUAUGAAGUGGUGUGUGAAUGUAAAUAGGGAUCCCCAUUGCACCAAUGUAGAAGAUGAACUUAGCGCACCUUCUGAUUGGCUGCAAGUUUAAUUUAGUUCACCAUUAAAAUAUAGAAAAAUCUGAUGAGGCCGUCCGUAUGCUUGUGCCUCUUUGUCCCAAUAGGAGGGAGUAAUAUUUCAGCAGAUAGAGCUGCAGAUUGUAGGCCCCUUUUUAAAAA